UAUCCCCAUUUUACAGAUGGCGAACCCUUGAACCAGGGCCACUUGGCUCAGAAGCGAAGUCCCCCCUGGGACUUGGACCUAAAAUCCGAAGUCGGCAGUGCCUUGAGCAGGAGUCCACGAGCCUGGUCCAGUGCCCUGGGCCUGGCAUCCUUUGCCUCUCAGAGAGCAGAUACAGGCAGCCAAAGACAGAAGGAGCCCCCACCCCACACCAUAUAAUCCCAGCACUUUUGGGAGUCUGAGGUGGGAGAAUCACCUGAGCCCAGGAGUUUGAGACCAGCCUGACCAACAUGGCGAAACCCCAUCUCUACUAAAAAUACAAAAAAUAGCUGGGUGUGGUGGCAUGCGCCUGUAGUCCGAACUACUCAGGUGGCUGAGGCAUGAGAAUCGCCUGAACACAGGAGACGGAGGUUGCAGUGAGCUGAGAUCAUGUCACUGCACUCCAGCUUGGGAGAUAGAGUGGCACUUUGUCUAAAAAAACAAAAAACAAACAAACGAAAAAAAAACGUUGACUGACCACAUACUGUGUACCAGACACUGUACAGGUCACUAG
rnacentral:lncRNA from 1 species